rfam:Gossypium arboreum cultivar AKA8401 contig_76170_1, whole genome shotgun sequence.
AUUCCUUGAUGCGGGCACUUCCAUAAUAAUUCUUUUUACCUUUCUUAUGCCUCAUACGAGGACUCAUCAUCCAUUUGUUGGAAAGUAGUGAUCUCGUUCCUUAACUU